rnacentral:lncRNA from 1 species
UUUAGACCGCUCUUAGUGUUAAGUACACAUAUUCACUUUCAUUUCAUCUUGAAGAAGCAACGUUCCAAAAUAUACCCUCACUCGAAAACACGUUGUACGCUACUCGAAGUAACAAAAGUGAGGCAUGGAGUGCAAGACUCAGAACGCCUUAAAGAUUUUUGUGCUCUUUUUUAUGACACUGGCUAGCCAAUGUGAUCCCACUGGCGACACCCAAACAUGCAGAUUUAAUGUUAUGGUGAAAGAAAAUAAAUGCAUCGUGAGUUCGAAGCUGACGUUGAACAAUGAGCAGAAGCAUUUUGAUGAUACUUUAUGCAUGCAGGUAACAUGCCUUGCAUCAAUGAACAAGAUUGAGGUGAUGUAUUGCAGUCCUCCAACUGAAUAUCCAGGAAUGAGCUGCCAAGUGACGUUUCCGUCGCUUGCGUAUGGACGAAAGGCAACGAAAAUUUAUCAGUGUUGCCCCCAGUACACUUGCAAAUUUUCAUCCUAGCAGGUGUUCGAAUAUAUCUUCUUUCGUGGCUUAAUUCCAGGUCCCUAACCGGUAUGGCAAAGUAAUGGUUCCAAAUAAACGUUUUAUCGGUUUA